rnacentral:rRNA from 1 species
CCCUUAGAUGUCCUGGGCUGCACGCGUGCUACAAUGAUACGUGCAACGAGUUAAUCCUGCUCUGAAAGGAGUGGGUAAUCUUAUGAAUGCGUAUCGUGCUUGGGAUUGACCAUUGUAAUUAUUGGUCAUGAACGAGGAAUUCCUAGUAAGCACAAGUCAUCAGCUUGUGCUGAUUACGUCCCUGCCCUUUGUACACACCGCCCGUCGCUCCUACCGAUUGAGUGGUCCGGUGAGGCUUUGGGAUCUGAGCGGAAAGAGCGUUUCGCUGUUUCUGCUCGGAAAACUCAGUCGAACCUUAUCAUUUAGAGGAAGGAGAAGUCGUAACA